rnacentral:rRNA from 1 species
AUUGAACGCUGGCGGCAGGCCUAACACAUGCAAGUCGAGCGGAUGAGUGGAGCUUGCUCCCUGAUUCAGCGGCGGACGGGUGAGUAAUGCCUAGGAAUCUGCCUGGUAGUGGGGGACAACGUUUCGAAAGGAACGCUAAUACCGCAUGCGUCCUACGGGAGAAAGUGGGUGAUCUUCGGACCUCACGCUAUCAGAUGAGCCUAGGUUGGAUUGGCUAGUUGGUGCGGUAAAGGCUCACCAAGGCGACGAUCCGUAACUGGUCUGAGAGGAUGAUCAGUCACACUGGAACUGAGACACGGUCCAGACUCCUACGGGAGGCAGCAGUCGGGAAUAUUGGACAAUGGGCGAAAGCCUGAUCCAGCAAUGCCGCGUGUGUGAAGAAGGUCUUCGGAUUGGAAAGCACUGUAAGCUGGGAGGAAGGGCAGUAAGUUAAGAUCUGGAUGUUUUGACGUUACCAACAGAAGAAGCACCGGCUAACUCCGUG